GCUUAGCUCAGUUGGUAGAGCGCUCCACAGGAAAUGGAAAGGUUCCUGGUUCAAUACUAGGACGAGGCA
rnacentral:tRNA from 1 species